UUGAAUACAACAGUAAAAGUUGAUCCUGCCAUUUUUUUCCUGUCAGGCCUCCCACAGUUCUUGCAUUGCUGUCAGGAGGCUGUAAGCACUCAGUGCCACCCUUUAGCUGAACUGAGAUGGGAUGACACAAAAUAUGAAGAGGAUCGAGUCGCACUCCCAGUGACGGCAUUUCAUUUUGCUAAUGCUCACAAAUUAAGGGUAUCUGUCAUUGCCUCCCUGAGACCGCAAGAGAGCAUCUCCCCAGCUCAUGAAUUUCAGAGCAUGCAGCCCUGAGAGGCAGAGACCUACCAAGUGUUCAGACAUUGGGCAGCUUGCCAAACCCAUGGGAAAACAAUUGCCAGCUUUUCCACUUGGUUAGGGGUAUGCUGGGUUCUCUACCUUGGAGCUUCUGGAUCAGGGACCUUCAUGUAACCUCUCAGCUUGGCAGGAUCCACCCUUGCAUCUUCUGCGUGCAUCCAAAUGCAGAGCCUAGGCUACAACAGAAAAUGUUCCAAGAUUAA
rnacentral:lncRNA from 1 species